rnacentral:rRNA from 1 species
GACGAACGCUGGCGGCGUGCUUAACACAUGCAAGUCGAACGGUGACCCAGGGCUCGCCCUGGUGAUCAGUGGCGAACGGGUGAGUAACACGUGGGCAACCUGCCCCUGACUUCGGGAUAACUCCUCGAAAGAGGAGCUAAUACCGGAUACGACCACUUCGGACAUCCGAUGGUGGUGGAAAGUUUUUCGGUCAGGGAUGGGCCCGCGGCCUAUCAGCUAGUUGGUGGGGUAAUGGCCUACCAAGGCGACGACGGGUAGCCGGCCUGAGAGGGCGACCGGCCACACUGGGACUGAGACACGGCCCAGACUCCUACGGGAGGCAGCAGUGGGGAAUAUUGCGCAAUGGGCGAAAGCCUGACGCAGCGACGCCGCGUGAGGGAUGAAGGCCUUCGGGUUGUAAACCUACUUUCUAGCAGGACGAAGCGAAAGUGACGGUACCGU